CCUACGGGAGGCAGCAGUGAGGAAUAUUGGUCAAUGGGAGAGAUCCUGAACCAGCCAAGCCGCGUGAGUGAAGAAGUAUUUCGGUAUGUAAAGCUCUAUCAGCAGGGAAGAAGAAAGACGGUACCUGACUAAGAAGCCCCGGCUAACUACGUGCCAGCAGCCGCGGUAAUACGUAGGGGGCAAGCGUUAUCCGGAUUUACUGGGUGGAAAGGGAGCGUAGACGGCUGUGCAAGUCUGAAGUGAAAGCCCGUGGCUCAACCGCGGAACUGCUUUGGAAACUGUAUAGCUUGAGUACUGGAGAGGCAGGCGGAAUUCCUAGUGUAGCGGUGAAAUGAGUAGAUAUUAGGAGGAACACCAGUGGCGAAGGCGGCCUGCUGGACAGAAACUGACGUUGAGGCUCGAAAGCGUGGGGAGCAAACAGGAUUAGAUACCCCAGUAGUC
rnacentral:rRNA from 1 species